UACGGGGGGGGCAAGCGUUGUUCGGAAUUACUGGGCGUAAAGGGCGCGUAGGCGGUCUGCUAAGUUGGAUGUGAAAACUCUGGGCUUAACCCAGAGCCUGCAUUCAAUACUGACAGGCUAGAGUUCUGGAGGGGAUAGCGGAAUUCCUGGUGUAGCGGUGAAAUGCGCAGAUAUCGGGAAGAACACCCGUGGCGAAGGCGGUUCUCUGGGACGGUACUGACGCUGAGACGCGAAAGCGUGGGGAGCAAACGGG
rnacentral:rRNA from 1 species